rnacentral:tRNA from 4 species
AGCUCAGCUGGUUCAGAGCAUCUGCCUUACAAGCAGAGGGUCGGCGGUUCGAAUCCGUCAACGCCCA